UGAUGAAUUGAGAUGUAAAGGAAAAGAAUGUAAACUUCUAUUUUGAGAAAAAUGUGAUGUAAAAAAAAGAAAUGAUGAAAAGCAUGUAUAUGUAAAAGAAUCGUGAAUGUAAAGAUUGAAUGCAAUGUAUGUGAUAAAAAAUGAAUCAUAGUACAUCGUGAAUGUAAAGAUUGAAUGCAAUGUAUGUGAUAAAAAAUGAAU
rnacentral:lncRNA from 1 species